GAGUUUGAACCUGGCUCAGGAUAAACGCUGGCGGCGCACAUAAGACAUGCAAGUCGAACGAACUUAAUUCAUUCUUUUAGAUUGGAAGCGGUUAGUGGCGGACUGGUGAGUAACGCGUGAGCAACCUGCCUAUUAGAGGGGAAUAACAGUGAGAAAUCAUUGCUAAUACCGCAUAUGCUUACACUAUUGCAUGAUAGAGUAAGGAAAGGAGCAAUCCGCUAAUAGAUGGGCUCGCGUCUGAUUAGCUAGUUGGUGGGGUAGAAGCCUACCAAGGCGACGAUCAGUAGCCGGACUGAGAGGUUGAACGGCCACAUUGGGACUGAGAUACGGCCCAGACUCCUACGGGAGGCAGCAGUCGGGAAUAUUGCGCAAUGGAGGGAACUCUGACGCAGUGACGCCGCGUAUAGGAAGAAGGUUUUCGGAUUGUAAACUAUUGUCGUUAGGGAAGAAAAAAGACAGUACCUAAGGAGGAAGCCCCGGCUAAC
rnacentral:rRNA from 1 species